rnacentral:misc_RNA from 1 species
GAAAUGCGAUAAGUAGUGUGAAUUGCAGAAUUCAAUGAAUCAUCGAAUCUUUGAACGCACAUUGCGCCCUUUGGUAUUCCUUAGGGCAUGCCUGUUCGAGCGUCAUCUAAACCUUCAAGCCCUGCUUGGUGUUGGGUGCCUGUCCCGCCUCCGCGCGCGGACUCACCUCAAAUCCAUUGGCGGCCCCCGCGUCGGCCACGAGCGCAGCAGAAACGCGAACUCGUGAGCCCGUCCGGGCGGCUCCCAGAAGCUACACCCACCCAGUUUGACCUCGGAUCAGGUAGGGAUACCCGCUGAACUUAAGC